rnacentral:rRNA from 1 species
AAAGCUGCAACUAUUCGUCUUGUGCUCUCUAUUGCUGUUUCCAGGGGAUGGAGCCUUCGCCAGCUAGAUGUCAAGAAUGCGUUUCUUCAUGGUGUUCUGGAAGAGGAAGUAUAUAUGAAACAACCUCCUGGUUUUGAAAACAAGAAUAAGCCGUUCCAUGUGUGCAAGCUUGAUAAAGCAUUAUAUGGACUCAAACAAGCUCCUAGGGCAUGGUAUUCCAGAUUAAGCCACAAAUUGCAAACUCUUGGUUUUGUUCCUUCUAAGUCUGACACAUCCUUGUUCAUUUACAACAAGUUGAAAACAACAAUAUUCGUUCUUAUAUAUGUUGAUGAUAUUAUUGUCACAAGCUCAUCUAAUGAGGCUAUAUCAGGAAUGUUGAAGGAUUUAAAUGCUGAGUUUGCUCUCAAGGAUCUGGGUGACUUGCACUUCUUCCUAGGGAUUGAAGUCAAGAAACAAGGAAAUAGUCUUCAUCUUUCUCAGGAAAAGUAUGCCACUGAUCUGGUAAGAAGAGUUGGGUUACAAGGAUGUAAAUCCUCACCAACUCCACUGUCCAGCAUAGAAAAAUUGUCACUUACAGAAGGAAAGCCCUUGGGUCAAGAUGACAGUACCAGGUACAGGAGCUUGGUAGGUGCACUUCAGUAUCUGACUUUGACAAGACCUGAUCUUUCAUUUGCAGUAAACAAGGUUUGUCAGUUUCUUCAUGCACCCACUAUAACUCAUUGGACAGCUGCUAAACGCAUAGUGAGAUAUGUGAAGGACACAGUUAAUCUAGGCCUCACUUUCAACAAGUCUUCAUCUACACUUGUUAGUGCAUUCUCUGAUUCUGACUGGGCAGGGUGUUUAGAUGACAGACGAUCUACUGGUGGUUUUGCAGUAUUUUUUGGUCCAAACUUAAUAUCAUGGUGUGCAAAGAAACAAGCCACUGUAUCAAGAUCCAGUACUGAAGCUGAGUACAAGGCUUUGGCCAAUGCCACAGCUGAAAUUAUUUGGGUCCAGUCCAUGCUACGAGAGCUUGGUGUGAAGACUACCCAAGCUCCAUGUUUAUGGUGUGAUAAUCUUGGUGCUACUUACCUGUCUGCUAACCCUGUGUUUCAUGCAAGGACGAAGCAUAUUGAGAUUCAUUUCCACUUUGUUAGAGAACGAGUUGCAAACAAGCAGUUGGAAAUUCGGUUCAUUCAUUCUCGUGAUCAGGUUGCAGAUGGAUUCACCAAAGCUUUGCCCACACAAAAUUUUGAAGAGUUCAAGCGUAAUCUCAACUUGACCAAGUUG